UCAUAUUAAAGUCAAUAAAGAAAAGAGAAAUGAGACCAUUCUUCUAAUUCUAGCCACUUCCCAACAAACAAAAAUUCAUAUUGAAGUCAAUAAACAAAAAGGAUGAUGAAUAGUGACAGUAGGUGAAGAGAGUUCGCCGGUCCAAAUCUUGACAAAGACUUGAGUUAGGUGAGAAGUAUUUUGGUCCAUUAAUUUUUCUUUAUUUGUAAUUUUAUACGGCUUUUUGUUAGGUUCUUCUUUGGAUCACUCUCUCUUAGCUUAGGUGGGAUUAAUUUAUAUUUGCUUCUUUUAAGUAACUAGUCAAAGUUGGUGAAACUGCUUCACCACAAGAAGAUAUCAUUAUUUUUAUUUUAUUUUAUUUUUUAAAUUAUUGCAUCAGUACUGGGUCAGCAUGACGUUUUUACCAUUUUUUUUUGGGUUAUAUUUACUAGAACUUAUUAUAGACUUUUUAGUACAAAAAUGAGUAAUAUAGUAGCGAGGUCAGUAGGUAAAUUUACUUAGAUAUAAGUUUUAUUAAAUGUAUAUUAGGAGACCCUUAUUUCCUUAACUUGGUUCCAUGAUCAAUUAAUUGUAUAUGACUUUUUGUUUUAAAAGAAUAAUACGUCAUGCAAUUCCUCUAUAAAAGGUUAAAAAUUUGAAAAAAAAAAAAUUAACCUUGUCACUUGAAAGUAUAUUCUUGUUUUAAAGAGUUUUUGUGGAGUUUUUGAACGUGUCUACAAUACAGCUGUUAUCAAAUAAAAUUUCAAAUUUUCUAUCAAACCCUCAAGUUUUUCAUCAUCGGCUUCAAAGACUUCGCAUCUUAUAUAUACUAAGUAAGAGUCAAAAAAGAAAAAAAAUUAUAAGAAAAUAUAAUGUAGGACUUAAGUUUUCACAAGAGAUUUGACGUUUAUAGUUAUUUUCAUUUUAUUUAAUUUAUUAUAGAAUAAUGAAAGAGACUUUAACAUAAAAACAAAUUAAAAAAUGAGGUUGUAGUUUUAAGAUUGGCAUUUGAUUUAUCCGUUAAUAAAAAUAUGCUUGCAUGUUUCAUUUGUUUCACGUUCAACACAUAAUUUAAGCUAUUUUUGUUUUUCUUUCCUUUUCCAUGAUUGUCUGGUAGGAAAGACGACUUACACUUCAACUAUACGGGCCAUAGCCAUUAAGAUGUUAGUGGAGUGAAUUGACAGUAUUCUUGUUAUUGACGGAAGAAACUUUGAUUAGGAUGAUAUGUGCUAACCACUCAUUUCAUGUACGUCUCUAGAUUUGUCAAUUUAUUAUGCCAUUACUUCCUAAAUUCUAAAUAAUUACGUAAAUAUUUUAUGCCAUACACAUAUAAUAGAGUUCUUAUGAUUUUUAUUGUCAAAUGUAUCCAAUCAUUAAUCACAAGCAAGAGACGUGUCUCACAGAAUGAACCUCGUGGAAGUUCAUGUUGAUAGCAAAUGAAACUUAAUUGAAGGUAAACUAUUGUAACUCGUGUGUCAUAGAAAAUAAAUUAUAUAUUAUAAAGUUUACCUACUUCAAAUAAUUUAUUAAUGAAAAUUACAUGUGACAAGGCCUUCUACCUAACCAAAAUGAAUCAUACGAUUGGGGCUGGACAGCAAAUUUGGUUUUGAGUUGCACAAUUCAAUAAUCACGUCUAAGUUAGAGCUCCCAAGAAAAGUUAGGUCACCUCUUCUUUUAUAAUAAUUUUCAUUAACUUGAUUCUAGUGAUAUAAAACAGAUGAUAUAAUCACCUCUUCUCAAAUCUUAAUGUGAAUGUUAUUCAAAUCUCAAAUUUGUUUGUACUAUCUAAAAAGAAUUACUCAUAUCCAAAGUUUUUUUAAUAAUUAAGAUAAAGUUGUAUUUUCGGCAUAUAACAGCUAUUGGUAUAGAGUUCAAUAUAAUAAUAUUAUAUCUAAAAAAUUUUAAUACUCAAUUUAUUAUGUUAUUUAUGAGCCUGCAUGACCUUACUCUUCUAAUUGAAUAAGGUUAUUAAUUUUUUUUAAAAAAAAUAGAUUUUAUUCUUUGGAAAUUAACAUCAUGUAUAGUCAUAUACAGUCAUAUUCAUUCAUUUAAUGGGCUCAUGCAUUCCUCUUGUUUUUGUUUUUGUUUUUAUCUUUAUGUCAACAAACAAAUGUUUCAUUAACAUGUCCUAUCAGCACAUUUUUCUUUGUAUUUACACAUUUACUUCUUACGUAAUUUUUUAAAUUCAUGAUACCUAUAAAAUACUGUCUAGUAAUUUCCACUGUGCUUUAUCAUGACCUAAAUGCCGUAGCAAAUAACAAGAAGCAAUUUAUAUUACCAAAUUAAGUAAAAAAGCACUUACUUGGUGGGGAUAGGAUAUUCAGGGAAGAACUUAGCCAGAAUCUCCACCACCUCGCCGCGGUGGAGCACGCUUUCGGCGCAGAGGUAACGGCCGGAGGCAGAUGGAGUCUCAUAGACAAGAAUGUGGGCUAAUGCCACAUCCCUAACGUGCACAUAUGCCUGAACUGAAUUAGCAUAAGUCUUUGCUGAGCCAUUUAAGUACUUAAGAAUGUGAAUAAUGCUAGCAUUCACAGUUGAUUGCAACAAUGGCCCUAGCACCAACACUGGGUUCACCACCACCAGGUCCACCCCUCUUGCCACCGCCUCCUCCCACGCCGCCUUCUCCGCCACGGCUUUUCCGUAGCAAUACCAGUUCUGCAAAUACAAUGCAGAUUAAUUAAAAGAAAAAUAAAAAUUGAUGUAAAUUUCAUGGAGUGUAUGUACAAUCAACUAAUAAAAUUGUGAUAUAUGUACAUUUUCAUAUGUACAACAUGAUAUUAUAUAUAUGAAAAGACGGUGAUAUCUCUUGGUUUAGUGAAAUAGUUAUGUUUAUCCAAUUACAUUCAGAAAUUUUUAUAUAAACAUUUUUUUGGAACCAUUAUACUCGGAUGAAUUACAGUAAUUGGUCAUUAUUAUGCAACAAAAACUUGUGAUUUAUAAAAAUAAGAAUAAAAUGUUAGAGACAGAGAACUAAAAUUUUGAAAUUUGUAACCGAAAUAGAUAACCAACUCAUCGAUAUUGAUAGGGAUAUAAGUUUCCAAUUUUUGCUGGGUGACUUUGCUAAUUAAGACAAGUUUUUGUAAGACUUUCAAAUCUCAUUUAUUAAGAUUCCUGUCAAUAUUUUUCUUGUAAAUUUCCCUAAUCAGAGGCCAUUGCCAAAAUAGUUAAGUUUUCAAUUAAAACUCCUCAAAAUACUUCCCAAAAACUUCGUUAACUAUUUAUUAAUUUGAAAUUCGUUUCCUUUUGUAUACUUUUCAUAGUAGGAAAAGUCUGUUAAAGCUUCUAUAUUUAUGAAAAAAAAAAUCUAAAAUCCACCUUAAACUUUCUCAAAGUCGCACAAACUUUUUCUAUAUGGAGACCACAAAAUUUACCCUUAAUAUAAUUCGUAAUUUAUUAUUAUUAUUGAAAAUUAAUUUGACCUUGGUGUUUUUGCAAAACUCAAGAUCACUCCAGCAAGAUUCAUCAACAACAUCAUCAGGGCUCCGGUUGGGGUCCAUGUAAACUGCACCGAUCGACGACGUGAACACAACACGCCGGACCUUGGCCUCAGCCGCCGCAACAAUCACGUUCUUGGUUCCGAUCACCGCGGGCUCCACCAUUUGUUCCUUCAUCAUUAAACAAAAUUAUCAUCAUUAACCACCCCAACCACCAUUAUCAUGUAUAUAAACGGUUAACCCACUUUAAACAAUUUUUUUUUUUAAAAAAAAAGCACAUAAAGCACUAAAAUCAUAUUAUAUGUUGUUCCAAAUUUCUUUAUAAUGACCCACUGAGGGUUUCUACAUUAUUAAAAAAAUGUUUAUGAACGAUAAACAAUCUUAAAUACUCUCGCUGUAUACAUGUCUUUUCUGUUUGAUUUUUAUCGCGUGAAUUUUUUUUUUAAUUAAUCAAAUAAAAGUAAAUAAAUGCGGCUUAAGAAUUCUAACAAAAGGAUAAAUAACGCACCUGAUUAUCAAGAAUUCGAUGAGAUAUGUUUUCAUUUUAUUCUUUAUUUAAUAAAAAGAAAAGUUAGGUGACAAUAUAGGACUCACUAUCUACCAUCCGAUGAAAGAAUGUUGUGGAGACCAGACAAAAUUAAGUGCUUUUCGUUAUCAACAAAGCAAAUGAUACGUAGCACUGUCUCUUGUUUUCUUUUUGCAUGUAUUGUAAUGACGUGGCAUUCAUUUUGUUAUUUUCUUAAAGAGUUGGUAAGACGAUCGAAAUUUUCCCAGUUUCAAUGUAAUCCAUUUUAUUUUCUUGGCAACCAAACAGGAAAAGGGAAAUUAAAAUAACAAAACCAAAAAUAUAAUUUAAAAACAGACUUACUGGAUCAUCUGUCACAGGGGAAGCAGUAUGAAAAACUCCCUCACAUCCAUUAAUGGCCUCUUUGAGACUCUCAUAAUCAAGAAGAUCAGCUUUGCAUAAAACUAAUCUUUCUUUUGCUCCUUCAAGCUCCCUCAAAUGAGCAUUCUUUGGAUCAUCUAAAUACAUGCAAAACCAUAAUGUAUAUAUCUCAAUAUAUAAGAAAAUAAUAUGAUAAAUUUAAUUAGGAAAUAGUAAUAAUAAUAUAAGAAAGUACCUGGGUUCCUGACGGUGCCUUUAACAUUGUAACCUUUUUCAAGGAGAAGUUUAACCAUCCAAGAAGCGAUGAAGCCACCGGCGCCGGUGACACAAAUAGUUUGGCCAGAAACUUGGGAGCUGCUAUCAAUUACCGUCAUGGUGAAGUUAAAUUGUAAUGCUUUGUUUGGAACGGAAGAAAAUAAAACGAAUAAGUGAGUUGAGACAAAGGGAUAUGGGGGUACGUGGGUUGUAUUUAAAGGGAAAGAAAGUUACCAACCCACCUAACACUGGUAAAAGGAUUUGGAUUGAGAGAGACUAAAUGGGUUUGACGCUUUGAAUCUUUUUAAUUUACGAGGCAUUAUUAAUAUAUAUGUUCCUGUUUUAGUAGUUUCUUGCUAAUUGUUUGGUACUUGGUGUAUAAAUUAAAUAAUAUAUUUAUGCUAAGUGGAUUGAGUUUUAUUGGUUAAUUAAUCAUUACUGUGUAUUUUGUAAUUGGGUGGUUUAGUCUCUGCGCAAAUUGUGCUUAACAUAAUUAAAAUUUUUAUUUAUAAGAUAAAUGAAAAUGUUUUUCAUUUAUCCAAAUAAAUAAAAAGUAAUUUAGAGGUUCUAGAUUUCUAUCUAAAUCAAGUAGCAAGACUAAAUUUACAUUAUAUUUAUUAUAUUAUCAUAAAAAAUAAUCUGAGGGUGUGGAUGAGUGUUUUUCAAAUAAUUUUAUUUAGUUGAUUAUUUGGGUUUAAAUUUUUGAAGCGGUAAGGAAUUAAAAAUUAAAUUUGAAACUUAUCCACCCUUACCAUAAAAAAAAAAAUUUUCCAACAUGUAAUAUUUUUGCUAAAGCUUCGCCUACCUUUCUACUUUUUAUUAAAAAAAUAACCCCCUCUGCCAUUUUUUAAGAGGAAAAUUCCUCAUUUUAUUGAUGAUAUCGAGAUUUAUGACUUCUGCUAGAUUUGUUUAUACAUUCAUGCAGUUCUUAAUUCAAUUACUUUAUUUUAUUACCUCUUAAUCACUGAUGCAUUUUUAAAGUCAUAAACAACUCAUUUAAAAUCACAAAAAGGAAACAAUGAGUCAAAUGACAAAAUAAAUUUAUGAUCCAUGAAACUAAUUAAUUAAUUCUUUCAAUAAUAAUCAUCGUAAUUAUUUUUUGGGGAAAAAUCGUAAUAUUAUUUUAAAAAAAAAACAAAAUCAUAACUUUUUUUUUUUUGGUGAUCAUUUAUGUUUUCUUUUAUUACUAGGCACGCGAUCGAGCUCCCACUUCACUAACUUUUUGAGCCACAACUUUUUGGACAACCCACCUUCUAUUGCUUUUCUCGCCUCUUUACCAUAGGUUUGCUUGCGCUCACCUUAUGCAAUAAUAAAUUAUAAAAAUAAUAAUUUAUGAAGAAAUUAUUAAUUUGGGAAAUGGUUUUUUAGGUCACCGAAAGUUCUAAAAGAUUGCUUUAGUAUACCAAACAAUGAUGUUCUAGCCAAACUUUCACGUGUAUUUUUCUUUUUCUUUUCUUUUUCAAUUGACUAAUUCCUUUUUUAUUCUGGAUUAGUUUCAUUACAAAAUUUUGUAGCCGAAUAGUGGGUUUAAGGUGGAUCCGUGGAUAUUUGAUUCAGUUGAAAGUUGUGGCUGGCAUUAGCUUUAUGGGUCUAUCGUGAAGUUGACAUCGAAUUAGACCUGUUUGAUACCGAAUCAUUGGUCUAUUGUGAAGUUGACAUCGAAUUAGACCGGUUCAAUUCCGAAUUAUUGUAACUUUUGAGAUACUUUAAAAAAAAUUAUAAUUAUAAAAUAAAAAUUAAUAGUGUAUAAUAAUUAAAUAUGAUUUGUAAAUAAAAAUAUUUUUCAUCGUAUAAAUGUGAGAUAAAAUUAACUUAAUUUCUAAAUCGUAACAAUAAGUAUUUAUCAAAUAUUUUAGUGUAAUAACUUAACCACAAUACCAAAAAAGUCUUAGAUUUACAUAUUAAAGUUUGAUUUUACACAAAGGCGGAACCAUAUAUAAGUUGAGGGUUGUCAACUUUUUGAAAAUUUAUGAAAUACAAGUUAAAACUUAAAAAAAUUUCAAGAAAACCCCAAUUUGUUGCGAUCUAUUUCAGCAACCCUAGAUUAAGUUUUCAAAGAAACGCUCAACUAGUAAUUUAUUUUGGCGGCCCCAAAUUAAAAUCCUGGCUUUACCCAUGAAUUUAUGGUUUACAUAAGAUCAUCAUGGUAAAAUGAUUUUAAGAAAAAAAAAUAGCACAAAUCAACGAUUUCACAUAGACCUACAAGCUAAUGGCGGUCCACAAUGACUUCACAUAGACCCAUCAAGCUAAUGCCGGUCCACAACUUUCAAUUCAUAAAUAUGUAAACCUUUGAUCCCAUCAAGUUAACAUUUAAAAUUUCACUAGACACUCUUUAACAUUUAAAUUUUUUUUAAGGGAUAUACUUAAUUUCGCCAGUGGGUAAAUCCCAAAUGUUAUUGUAUUUAAAUUACCUCAAUCCCACCAAUAUUUUAUAUACAUAUACACACACAUACAGAUAUUGAUAUACAUACAGAAGGGCCAAAAGGCAAGUCAAGAGCAUCGUUACUUAAAAACCCAAAAAUUACAUACAAUCCAUUUUGAAUACAAGUUGGAGGACCAUCCCGCCAAGAAUAAGCAUAGUAAGAAAUACCUAAUUUAUCUAAAGCAUCCGCAACAAAAUUCGUUGUAAUGGUUCAAAAAAAAAUUUAUUGACUAUUUUUUUAGAUUUUAUUUUUGAAAUAUCUAAAGCAUCCACAACAAAUUUCCCUUCUUUAUAUGGUAGAUUUUUUGACCGAUCACUUUUUGUAAUGUGAGCAACAAGGUUCUUACCAAGUUGCUUGCGUUGAGAUUGACUCCUUAGUUGCCUCGUCUUAUCUCUUAUUCUCAGAGUGGUUUUGUCCCAAGAAGAGUAAUUCAUGAUAAUGUGCUUUUGGUUUAGGAGCUGGUUCAUGAUCUCAACUGUCAUACUCGGGGGAAUAAUGUGGUGCUGAAGCUCGAUAUGGCCAAGAUUUAUAAUCGGAUGUCUUGGUUUUUAAUUGUUCAGAUGCUGCAAUUGAUUUAGGUUUUCAGAGUGGUGGGUCUCUUUGAUUUGGCGAGCUAUCUUUGCCCCUUAGUUCUCGGUGUUGGUGAAUAGGAUUAGCCAUGGAUUUUUCCAGCCUCAAGGAGGUCUUACCCAAGGCAAUCCUCUUUCCCCAUGUUUAUUUUAUCAUUGCUGCUGAGUUUUUAUCCCGAGGUUUAAACCAUUUAUACUCUCAAUAUCUCUCUUUGCGGAAUUGUUCUACUGCACCUAUCAUUGUCUCCCAUUUGACCAUUGUAAAUGAUGUCGUUAUUUUUGCAAACGGGAAUCACCCGAGCCUCCGGUAGAUUAUAGAUUUUUUACAUCAUUAUGAGGCGGUUUUGGGGCAGUUGAUUAGGGAGGCCAAGAACAAUUUUUACAUUGAGGGCUCAAUUUCUGCCUCGCGCCAGGCUAUUGUCCAUUCUGUCACCGGUUUCUAGUGGUGUUAGCUUAUGUUCAUUUAUCUUGGGUGCCCCGUCUUUAUAGGGUGUCUUAAGAUUUAUCAUUUUGAUAAUAUGGUCAGGAAAGUUAGGAUAAGAUCUCGGGUUGGGCCAAUCGGUUGCUAUCCUUUGGUGGGAAGUGGUGCUUAUUCAACAGGUAUUGUCUUCUAUGCCACUUAGUUUCAUGUUCUUCGCCCUCAUGUGGUGCUUAUUCAACAGGUAUUGUCUUCUAUGCCACUUAGUUUCAUGUUCUUCGCCCUCAUGUGGUUGUGGUUCGGCACUUAGAGAGACUAUUCACUUAGUUCUUAUGGAGUGAUUUUGAGACGAGACGACAGAUUCAUUGAUGUAGAUGGCCAGCAGUGUGUUAUUCGGUUAAGAAGAGUGGCCUCAAUAUCCAGUCUUUUGAUGAUAUGGCUGAGGCUUUUGUGCUCAAGCUUUGGUGGCAUUUUCGAGAGCAGAGUUCAUUAUAGACUUCUUAUAUGAAGUCUAAGUAUUGCAAAACUAUAUAUCCGAGUCUGCUUUAGUUUCGUUCUCCUACUUCUCCUCUUUGAAGGUGCCUCUAUUCUAAUUGAUGUGUUACUAGGCCUUAUAUGCGUUGGUUGAUUGGUCAUGGGGAGACUAGUUUUUGGUAUGAUUGUUGGUUGUGCUCUUGUCCUUUGGUCAUUUAUAAUCUUGCGGCGGCUUCUAUAGUGCCAGUUUCUUUUUAUUGGCGGGGUACAAUCUGGGAUUUAGUGUAAGCUCCAGGAUGUUUUGCCAUUUUCUAUUGUUGAAUAGAUUUUAUUGGAUCAUAUUUCUAGUGGGGAACCAAACUUGAUUAGAUAAGAUCUUGUCUCUGAUGGUAUUUUUCAUUUACGGAUGGCUUGGGAGCUUAUGAGUUGUUCUAAGCCGAGGGAUAAGGUUUUUUCGGUUAUCUAACAACGGCAUAUCCCGUCUAAGGUAUCUUGUUUUUCUUUAGCAAUUGUUGCACAAGUUUUUGGCUACUGAUGAUGCAUUUUGUUCGAAGGGUUUUUCUAUGGUCUCUCGGUAUGUUUGUGGUCCGGCUGCCGAGACUUUUUGACAUUUAUUUAUUGAUUGCCUGUGGGUAUGCCAGGUUUAGUCUCAUUUUCUGUAAAUUUUUUAGUGUAAAAGAUUUUUCCUUUUUGACCCCCUUGCUUUGCUUCUUUAUUGGCGACGGUGUGCCCUUUCUUGGAGUCAUCUUCGGGUCCUCCUGCCUUCUUUUAUUUUGUGGCAAAUUUGGAAGGCUCGUAAUGCUUUGAGGUUUGAUUCACAACCUUUCUCUAUUGAUGCAGUUAUCUAUUAAGUGGUAUUGGAUCUCAAGCUUGCUGGUUUCGCUUUUGGUUUUAAGUCUUCCCAGUUAAGAGGAUUUUUAGGUUCUCAGAUUGCGGAGGAUUUACGAGUUAUAACUCCACUGAAGAGGCUAAUUUGAUUAGUUUCUUAGAUGAGGCUGCCUUCUGGGGUUGUGAAGUUGACUAUGGAUGGUUGCUCUAAGGACAAUCUUGGGAUGACUACUUCGGGUAGUAUUCUUCGAGAUCAUUGAGGUGCAGUUUUGGUUGCUUUUGGAUCUUUUCUUAGUUGUUAGUCAAUUCUUUAAGCUAAGCUUACGGCUGUUUGUGAGGGGUUAGAGUUUACUACUCAGCUUGGUUACUCUAUAUUUGAAGUGGAGUCGGACUUAGCCACGGUCGUUUCUUGGAUUCAUUAUAGGGUCAUGCUUGGUGAGAUUAUUCUUAUUCGUUGUGUCAUGUGUGCACUUUGACAUCUUCCUCUGGCAUUUCAGUUAGGCGUGUGCUUUGCGAGGCUACUUGCUAUUGAUUUUCUUGCCAACUGGGCUUGCACUCAUCGGGUUAGUAGGCGCUUCUUGUGUUCUCAGGAUCUUCCUGCAAACUUAUCUGGUAUUCUACAUUUUUAUGCACAAGUUAUUCCCCAAGUUAGACGCUAGCAUCGAUGACUUUCCUUAUUAUUUCAUUCUUCUCUUUUUAUUCAUGUGUAUUUUCAUUUACUUUAGGAGGUUUUGGCUUGUGUCCCCCUCCUUAUAUAUUUGUUCCAUUACUGAUUUAUAUUAUAGGUAUGGGUCCAGCCUAACCCCCCACCUCUUGGUAUUUUUUUAUUAAAAAAAAAUCCCUUCUUUAUAAAUAUAAGCUCCUAAUUGCCUAAUUUGCACCCUCUCCGAAAUAAUUGUAACCCCAGGCUCCCAAGCAAGAAGCGUGCCGAAAAAGCAGUAUGUAUUGAUAGAGCCUUACACGACCGAUCAAGUUAAAGAGCCCAGCAUGGAAUAAAUGGGCAAUUAUCUCGUAACAUGGCCAGGGUAAAAGUGCAUAAAAGCUUUGAGAUGGGCUUUGACAAGAAGUUGGACAUGGUCUCUGUGCGAGCGGCCCAUUCUCAAAUCGCAAAGAAUAAAGAAUUGAUUUGAACAAUCACCUAUGAAUAAAGAAUUCAUGAAGUAUUACUUAAGCUAUGGAUGUACUCUCUUGUUUUAUAAUAGUAGUUAAGCUUAGGUAACAAUAUAUUUUGUUUUAUUUAUUUAUUUAUUUAUUUUGCUGAUAUGUAAAUAAAUCUAAGUGCCUAAGUCUGAAUUACAUUAGUGCCUUUAUAACUUUUAAAUAACAAAAUAUUUACAAAAAGCAUAGGUAAAAUAAUUAUUUCUCAUACGUAUGAACACAAAUCAUGCUAAUAAAUUUCAUUGUAUGUUUAUGAUGUUGCAUAGGAAACCUACUUUAAAAUAAUGAAAAAUAUAUAAUUAGUAUAAAAUAAAAUAUUAUAAAAAUAAUAAUUGUGUUAUUAUAAUAUCACAAGUUUUACAUUUAUUGUGAUUCUUAAUUCUUUAAGUGUGAAGGUGGGGAUAGUUGCUUUCUUUUUACCUCCAGGGACCUAACCUUUAAAUAGAGAAAAGAACAGUAAAUCCCCUAACAUUUGAGAAAAGGGACAUAAAACUCAUUAACGUUUCAAAAAAAACAUAUAACCCCAAUUAUUAUUAUUAAAUUCUAUUUGUUUUAAUAGUAAAUUUAUUUUUAAUUUAUAAUUGCUAUUAUGUCCCUAUAAUAAAUAAUUCAAUAUAUUGACUUAAGGCAUAUCAUGGGUAUAAUGAAAUUAAUAAGUUUUUAUUUAAAACUUAAAAUUAAGAUGUAAUUAUCUUUUUCGUAAAUUAUUCACUCUAAAUUACGAACAUACCCUUUCCAAUGAUAAUUUUAAUUUUAAUUUUUACCUAUUAUUCAUCAUUUUUUAUCAUCCUAUCAAUGGGAAGGGUAUAUUCAUAAUUUAGAAUGAAUAAUUUGGGAAAAAUGUAAUUACAACUCAAGUUUAAGUUUUAAAUAAAAAGUUAUUGAUUUCAUUAUACACGUUAUCAAUGACAUAUCUUAAGUUAAUAUAUUGAAUUAUUUAUUAUGGGGAUAUAAUAGUAAUUGUAAAUUAAAAAUAAAUUUACUAUUAAAACAAAUGGAAUUUAAUAAUAAAAAUGAGAGUUAUAUGUCAUUUUUGAAACGUUAAAGGGUUUUAUGUCAUUUUUCCCAAAUGUUAGGCAAUUGACUGUUCUUUUCUCUUUUUAAAUAGUUUUAUUUAGCUAAUCAUAACCAGCCGAGUUUGAAUCUUCAAGGAGGUGGAGAUUAAAAAUUGAUUUGACUUUAUCUACCCCUUUACUUUUUUCUUAAAAAAUAUAAAUAAGUGUGAAGCCAAGGAAAAAAGCACAAAGAAAAACAAGCUAGUAUUUUAAAAAAUAAGAAACAAUGGUAGAUUUGUCUAGACCAAUAAUGGGUUGGUGCUCAAGGGCGGAGAUAAUCAAGCAUAUUUUGAUUGAUUGCUUAUUGAAUGUCAGCACGAAAUUUUUUUAAAAGAAGUAAUAAAUAUAUAAAUUUGAAAGAACAUAUUUAUACAAUUGUCUUUUACGAGUUUUUUAUUGUUGUAUGACAACUUCAUUAUCAAUAUUAUUAAUAAAAAAUUAUUGCAAUAAAAGUUAUCAAUGAGUAUGUAGGCCAUUUAAAAAUAAAAUUAAUGUUAAUAUUUGUGAGCUAGAUUUUAGUUUGCAAAGUCCGAUUCUUUUUAAUUUGUAUUUAAAAAUUUUGAGUAUGAUAAAUUAUGUGUAACCUUGAGUACACUUUACUGGGGAAUUCCGUGAAAAAUCAGUUAAACAUUAAAUGAAUUUUUUUAAUUUCAAGUCCCCAUUAGUCACAUCAAUUGGCCUUUAGUCUAAUGGGAGAAGCUUUGCACUUACAAUGUUGAGUGUAAGGGUUCAAGCUUCCAUAAAAGCAUUAUGUAUGUUAGUUUCAGUACUCCCUCAAUUAUCAACUAAUUGAGUGGAUACAGUCUCUCCCUUAGGAAAUGUGAGUGGAGUAGACACCCCUCGAAUAUUAGAGAUGGUUUAAAGUAUCUGGACAAGUGCUUCAGCGGGUUAAUGUAUAGUAUGGCGGUGGAUACAGUCUCUCCCUUAGGAAAUGUGAGUGGAGUAGACACCCCUCGAAUAUUAGAGAUGGUUUAAAGUAUCUGGACAAGUGCUUCAGCGGGUUAAUAUAUAGUAUGGCGGUGGUCUCAGUUGUUUAAUACAAUUAUAAAUAUUGUAAUUGUAAUGUCUAAUAUAAUAUCAGUAACAAUCUGUGUAUAACAUAACUAAAAAGAAAAAGUCUAACAGAACUCAAAAAAAAAAAAAAAAGCACCAAUGACAGUGCUCUCACGUGUUGUUGGUUGGAAUAUAUUUUUGAGCUGUGACCAGUAGACCUUUAUACUAUAAAUAUACGGCAAACCCUAAAUUACAUGUAAUAUAACUUUGGGGAUCCUAAAUAUAGAUGUUUAGAUUCUCAGCAUACCUCCGAUUAUAAUACAUUUAUAAAUUGUAACAAUUAGAAAAUGAUUGAUUUGAUAUAGAUGAGGCUAUAAAUAAAUUAAAUCAGAUCUUGAUACUUCUGAGGAUAUUUCUUUUAAUAAAAUCAUUCAACCAUUUUAGACUAAGCAAAACAACCCAAAAAAAAAAAAAAUAUGGCCUUUACCAUUGAGUAAAAGUUUCAGAAUUUUGUUUUUAUUAACACGUUAAGUUUUAAAAAAAAGUACAACGUCUGGUUUUUGUCAAACUUUUUUCCAAACAUUUUAUCUAACCAAAUAAAUAUCGAAUUUAAAUAACCGUACGUUGGGAAUAUUGUUUAAUUGAUUUUUGAAAUUUUUUGUCACAAGAGGUUAUGCAUGGUCAUGUGGACUAGCGCUUUUCAUGGAGGAUCCUUCAAAAUGUUUCCUAAUGUUUUGAACUUCUUUAUUUAAAUAAUUAUAUUUAUUUCUUUAAAAGGUAGAAUCAAGGUGGCUAAAUUCCUAAUAGAUUAUUUAGUUCUAUUUUCAAUACAAUUUGAUUUGGGUGUUCAAUUAAAUGAUACUAUCCUUACCUAGUUAGGAUACUUAAAUUGUAUCCCAGCUGAUGUGUUACUAUGUGAUUGGUUUAAUUAAUAGGUAAUUAUUAAGACUUAUUAUUUUUAAUUUAAAUAAUAAAUUUCUAUUGGUGACAUAUCAUUUGGAAUAUAAACCAAGUAUUCCAACUAUGUAGGUGUGGCAUUAUUGUUAAAAAAAAAAAACUUUUUUUAACCAAUCUACCAAACUGUGAGGAUAAUAUUUUGAAUUUCUUUUUCACGAGAUGCAAUCAUGAUAAUUAAAUCAUUAAUCAAGCCAAGAAGAUAAGCUCAUGAAAAAUGUAGGAGGAAUUUAUUAAUUAACCAUUUUCAUUUGUUUUUUAAAAUGGUUCCUAAUCUAUAAUAGCCAACAAGAAAUGCCUGCAACAAAAUUUAUUUUCCAUGCAAAGGCUCUAAACAGAAAUGGUUUAGAAAAUACUUUUAUGUGUCAAUUUGAGAGAACGGAGAAAAGGAAAAAAAAAACUACUAAUCGAAUGACUAUAAUUGGAGGUGUUUCCCAUUGUUAUCUCUUGCAAUUCUUGUACAAGAUACUUCACACUUUUAUGAACGAAUCCAAUUUUCCCCCCUCCUUUUUUUCAGUUAUCUUGCACCCUACUUUCUACCCACUCUUAAUUAAAAUUAUAUAUCCCUUGGACUUAAACUUUUAUACUCUUAUUUAACUUCAAGUGGCCAACCAACUGAGUUGUCGUAUGAGAAUAAAAGAAUCAAAUUGCCAGUCAACUUAAACUAUAGCAUUCCUCAACUCGUGCAAUAAUUAAUUAUAGUUGCGUUGAACAAAGAAAUCAUAACAAUAUAUUAAAAUUAUACAUAAAAGAGAAUAAGAAACUCGUUCGUAUAACACCGAAUUUCAUUUUUGGCAUGAGUAAUGCUGGCUUCACACUCUAAUUACUCAUUCAACUACUAUACAAACUUAUAGAUGCGCACAUCUGCAUCUGAACAUAAUUUUAUAUAGAUUUAGAUAUAAUGAUGAACAGAGCAGCCUUCCAUAUACUUAUGCGGUUAAUUGCAUUAAUUCUCAUCCAUAUAGUCUCAUUCCAGAAUGACCCUCUCUUUACUAUAGAGAUAUAGAUGUUGAGUCAAUAAAUAAAAUAGUAUUUUAUAUGCCGCGCAUUCGCUACUGUGCUUAAAAUCUCAGCAUUGUAACAAUUACCAAUAAGCUGCGAAGACACGGAAUUGUAAUUUAUCCCUAUAUUUGAUGUUUGAGAAGUCCUAAUUAGUAACGACUAUCUAUUUUAUAAUUUAGUACAUUUUAGUCAAUGAUUCUUUUGCAAAAGUUCAAACUUGUAGCUGUCAAUGUUAACCCACUCGUCAUUUUUUUUUAAUUUUAUUUAUUUAUUUAUUUAUUUGACAGGAAUUAGAAGUUUAAAGUCUUAGCUAGGGGACUGAUUGGGUUACAUUGAGUUGGUGAAGACCCUUAACAUUUACCUAUAAUUUAUAAUAAGAUUUAUGUCUCGUUUGAAUUAAGGUUGGACAAUUGUAACUUAAAAUGUACAUCAUUAAAGUAUUUGCUAACGAUAUCUGUUGUAACUUAAAAGCUAAAUUGAUUUGAUUUUACACUUGUAGGAUGAAAAAACUGUUAUAUCUUUAUUAAUUUUAUCAAAAUUAUUAUUUAAAAAAUAUAUUUACUACAUACCAUUAGUUUUUAUUUCAUAGUUACAGUUACUAUAAUUUAAAAGUUACAGUACCUCAAUACCAAAUAAGAUCUUAAUUAGGUGGUUCUAAUAUUGCUAAGUCACUGUAUAUACAAUCUAUUAAUGAUUAUUUUUUAAUCUAGUGUAGUGUCACGAUAAUAUAGUAGUUUUGGGAUAACUUAAGACUUUUCAGUCUCGUAAAAUUGCAAGCUUCUCUUAUAAUAGUUUUAUCAAGUCUUAGCGGUUUUAUACAUCCCGAUGAUUUGUUUGAGUAGCUUUUGAGCAAUUUUGCUUUAAUUAAGUUUCAUUUUAAGUAUGAAGAAAUGAAAAUCACAAAUGGUAUUUGGCUUUCGUUAAGCUUUGAUAAUAAAAUUCAAGUAUAACAUAAAAUAUGUGGAGAAUAAUUUAAUAAAAUGUGAUAAAUUAUGCCCUUAUUUGAUUAAACGUCAACUCAAAAGAAAAUUCGAAUUUCGAAUUCGAAUCUUCGAAAUUCAAUCGAUUUUGAUUCUAUUCUCAAUAUUAUUUGGGUUGCUAACUCAACGGUAGAGUACUCGGCUUUUAAAUACGGCUAGCAUAAUUCAACUCAUUUUGUUGAUUGGUAUGAAGUUGUAAAAAAUCCAACCCUUUCCGUCAGUAUAACGUAUUUCGGAAUACUUCUAGCCUACUAAACACAAAUGAUAAAGUUCCUAAUUACUGUUGUUAAUAUAAAAUGAAAUAAUUUUCAUAACAUUAGUAGGGAACAAAAUAUAUUAUUCAAUCCAUUGAAACUGCUACAUCUUUUUACAAAAAAAAAAAAAAGAGAGAGAGAAGAAAAAUGAAAGCACUUCCAUAAUUUUGUAUUAGUACUACAAUUUGCGUAUAAACAUACUGCUAACAAAUUGUAAGACCUUAGUUAAUAUUGAAAUUUGACUGAUUCUGUGUAGGGAUUGGAAGGUGACCUUUCUCCUGCAAGCUCUUAACGCUGUCGUAUAGGCACUGCCUCACUGGCGUAAACUUUAAGCCUAGGUCCUUAAUCUUCUGAUUGGAGUACUUAUAGGGUUUUGCUCUUGGGCUCUUUUCAUCUUUACACCUGUGUUUCGAAUUUAAAAGAAAAAAAGAAAUGAAAUUAAUUUGGUUCAUCCGCCCAUAAUGAAAAUAUAGCAUAUUAAAUAGGCAAUAACAUAAUUAUUGUGUAUUCAAGGGGCUAGCAUAUAAUAUUAACUUAGAGACGGGCUAACUUUUAAUGCAACAUUAUCUUGCAUGAAAUGUUCAAUUAAGCACCCACCGUGGCAGAAAGGAGCACAAUACUCUCAACAUGACAUGAGGUUCAUCAUUCGACCUUCUCUAAAGUUGAAGGACAAAAGUUCUUCUAAGAAAGGAAAGUGGAGGCACAAAUUUUUUUAUUUUUUUUAGAUAGAUAAAUUUAAGAUAUCUGAAUUUUGACAUAAUAUCAUAAUGUCAUAUUUAAUUUUUAUAUUGUGCUCGUCCUAAGGUUUGGCCGAAUAAUUUUCAAAUAAUUUUAUUUAGCUAUCCAUUCUAGCACAAAGAGAGAUAAGAUUAAAAAAUUCAUCUCAACUUUUGUACAGUACCUCCAAGACAAAUAACUUCAGAAAGUUACCUCAUUGACACUAAAAUUUUAAUCAACGAAGAUUGUUAUUUUUCGGCUGGGAUAUAUAUAUAUUUUUAAUAGGUUAAAUCUUUGGGGUCGAAUGGAUACCGAAGUACUAUUUAAACUGGAAGGAUUAAAUUAAGAAUUUUAGGGUUGAAAGUGAUAAUAUUCCAAAUUUUAAAGUUUGAAAGGAAUAAUAGACUUUACUGCAUGUCAAGGUGCCAAAAUACAACCAGUGGACUUUAAUUAGAGUAAUUACUAUGGAUGAGAGCGACUGAUGCCUACUCAAUUCAUGUACGUCGUUUCAAUACUGUGGCAAGUAUAUGUUGACUGUAAAUGAAAUUUCAUUGAAGCUCUUAUAAUCAAAUCAACGACUAACGUCAAAUAUCAUGGGAAAAAAAAGUAUAAAUUAAAAAUUUGUUAUUUACCUAAUUGACUAGCUUCUUUGAAACUUACGUAUGGCAAGACGUGUACCUACCAUUACCGAGAGCCAAGUCAUGUCUAAAUAUCCCUCUAGAAAAGUUAGGUAAAACGCUUACCAACAAAAAGUUAAUUUGGUUUAUCGCGCAUAUUUUUCAUUUCAUGUCCAUUUUUAAACCAUAUAAUAUUGAUAACUAAAGUUAAACGAACUAUUCGGUUUAAUUGAUGAGAUCAAUAGGUUUGAGAUUGAUUUCUGUUCACAUCAAAAUUGAGAAUACCAAUAAUUUGCUAUCUGAUAAUAUUUGUCGCGCCAUUAUUGCUCUAGUUAAUAAAUAACAAUAGCCAUAACAUGCAUGCAAUACAUAACAAAAUUUUGGGGGAAAAAAAAACACACACGCACAAACACACAGAGAGAACAAGCACUUACUUGGUAGGGAUUGGAUAUUCAGGGAAGAACUUGGCCAGAAUCUCCACUACCUCGCCGCGAUGGAUGAUGCUGUCGCUGUCAGCGCAGAUGUAGCGGCCGGAGGCGGACGGGGUCUCGUAGACGAGAAUAUGGGCUAAUGCCACAUCCCUAACAUCCACAUACCCUUGAACUGAAUUGGCAUAAGUCUUUACUGAGCCAGUUAAAUACUUGAGAAUGUGAAUAAUGCUAGCAUUCACAGUCGGUUGUAGCAAUGUCCCUAUCACCAACAUAGGGUUCACCACCACCAGGUCCAGCCCUCUGGCUUUCGCCUCUUCCCACGCGGCCUUCUCUGCCACAGUUUUUGCAUAGCAGUACCAGUUCUGUAAAUGUCAUGUGCAUACUGUUAAUGAGUAAUACUAGAGCCACAAUUUCUUUGUACAAAUUAUCCCAUAGAAAAAUAUUUCGCAUAUGUUGAAAAUUUUUAUUGGAUGGAGAAUUAGUAUAAGUUUGAGGAUUCUUGAAGUAGUUUCUUUUUUGGCAUGACUUGUGCCCCGUAGGCUGCUAUCAUGCAAACUAAUCAGAUAAAAUAGUAUUGUCGGAUAAAAAAUCAAAAUAAUUAAAAUCAAUAACGUGUGAAGUGUGAUAUAUAUAUAUAUAUAUAUAUAUAGUAGUUUUCUGGUCCGGGGAUCAUAAAGUGUGAGAAACAUCCGGAAAAAUUUUAAAACUGUGGGGUUUUAAAAACUUAAAACUUAAAGUACUUAAACCGCACGGUUUAUUCAUUUUUUCGGACAUUCUCGCACUUUAAAAUUCCGAAUUUGAACAUUUUUCUCUCUUUAUAGAUAUAUAUAAAUUAAAAUAAUUAAUUUAACCUUAGUGUUCUUGCAAUACUCGAGAUCACUCCAGCAAUGUUCGUCAACAACAAUAUCAGGGCUCCUGUUGGGGUCCAUGUAAACUGUACCGAUCGAUGACGUGAAUACGACACGUCGGACUUUGGCCUCCGCCGCUGCAACAAUGACGUUCUUCGUUCCAAUCACCGCGGGCUCCAACAUUUUUUCCUUUAUCAUCAUUAAACAUAUAUAAGAACGGAAUCCAGUUGAUAAAAGAGGAAGUAUACACGUAAUGCAUGCAUAAUCAUUAAAAGAAAAUAAUCCACUGUCUAUCAAGAAUGGUUUAAGUACUCCAAGUACAUACUUGCAAGUUCUCAUUUUCUUGACAACUAAAAGAGAAAAAUGAGAGACAAAAAUAUUAUUGAAAAGACUCACUGGAUCAUCUGUCACAGGGGAAGCAGUAUGAAAAACUCCAUCACAUCCAUUAAAUGCCUCUUUAAGACUCUCAUAAUCAAGAAGAUCAGCUUUGCAUAAAGCUAAUCUUUCUUUGGCUCCUUCAAGCUCUCUCAGAUGAGCAUUCUUUGGAUCAUCUAAAGACAUAAAAAACCAAAAUAUAUGUCAAUAUACAAGAAAAAAAAAUAUGAUAAAUGAUCUUUGUGAAUUAAUUAACUAACUAAAAUUAUAUGUGUACCUGGAUUCCUAACGGUUCCUUUAACACUGUAACCCUUUUCCAGGAGAAAUUUAACGAUCCAAGAAGCGAUGAAGCCGGCGGCGCCGGUGACACAAACAGUUUGGCCGGAAACUUGCGUGCUGCUAUCAAUCGGCAUGCUGGCUAUUUUUGUUAAAAAUUGAAGAAUGGAAGUAAAAUGAGUAAGUUGAGAGAAUAAAGAGAUGGGUAACUGAGUUGUAUAUUUAUAGGGAAACCAAAGUUUUCCAAGUCUUCAAAGACGUGUGCGUUUAGUGGCAAUUUAAAUUAUUUAAUCGACUUUUCUUUUGAUCGUAUUAUUGUAGUUUUGUGGUUGUUGGAGUAUAAAAUAAUAAUAAUAAUAAUACUAGACUUGAUGCUAAUUAAGUACAUGUGAAUCCAUAAGUGUUUAAUUUGAUGCUUUUGAAAUUCGGAGGGAUCCGUGAUAUGAUCUAGGCAGCCGCAAAGUGCGUGUAGAUUACUCGGUCUACGUUUGACAAAGUAAUUGUAACAACAACUAGGGGUCGGCAUAUUUUAACCGAACCGAUCCAAACCGACCAUUUGGAUCGGUUUGGAUCGGUUUCAUUAGUAAAAAAACUAGUUUCGGUUUAUUGGAUUGCAAACCGACAUCACUCGGUUUGGAUUUCGGUUUGGAAGGAUUCCAAACCGAUCCAAUCCAGAAAUAUUAUAUAAUUACAUUAUAUUCUAAGUUAAGCAAUCUAACUAAUUAUAUUUAUCAUUUUAUGCAGAUUUUGACAAAUCAAAAGCAAUUGGGCCAUAAAUUUUGACAGACAAGAUGCACAAUAUUUUAAUUGUCAAAUGUUGUUCAAGUUUAUUUUAAUUUUGUGAGUUUGUUUUGAAUGAACAGGUUAAGAACUUGUUUAUUAUGAUGUAUUAUGCUGUAAACUUGUAUGGAUGUAUCUUUGAAUUGUUAUGUAGAUAUCAAAGUAGAUAUGAAUAAUAUAAAAGAUGUAUCAAUUUGGAUUACGGACACAAAAAAAUAACAAAUAAUUUAGGUAAAAUAAUAUAAAAGAAGUGGAAUUUUAGCUAAUAAGUUCAAAAUGGAUCCAAACCGAUCCAAACCGACUAGGUCGGUUUGGAUCGGUUCGGUUUGAAAAAAUUUUUGGUUGAUAUCGGUUUGAAAAUAUUUCAAACCGAUUAGUUUGGAUCGGUUUGAGAAUAUGUCCCAAACCGAUCCAAACCGAAUUUACCCACCCCUAACAACAACCGUCAAAAGAAACAAACAAUGAGUUGGUGACAAAGAGUUAGACUAUUGUCACCACUAAAAUAAAAAAAAAAAAAUCUUAAAAUUUAUUUUAGAUACUUUACGACCUCAAUCUUUCUUAAAUUAUGAUAUUGUAUAACAAGUGUCUUUUAUAUCGAAUUCUUGGCACCAUCAGUGUACAACAUCUCAAUUUACUUUUUCUUUUUUAAAAGUAUCAAAAUUCUAAACUCCAUCCAACACAGAUAUUAUUUAAGUUUCAUAAUGGCUUACUUGCAACUGCUAGUAGUUUAUUAGUUUUUUAAAUGUCUCAUUAUUUAUUCUAUAGAUUAAAUAAUUAUAUAGUUCUUCAGUAUUUAAAAUCUCAAAGAGUUUUAAUUUUAGCUCUAAUAUGAGUUUGUAGAUGUAGUUCUUUGAUGGAUUUAGUCAUAGUGAUAAAUUCUUUAACAAUCAAAAGAGAGAUGAGAGGAAAAAAAAUUAUCAUUAAGUGUCUUAAUUCAAUAAGAAAAUUAACAAAUAAGAGGAAGAUCACAGAAACUUUUUAAACACAUAAAUGAUAAAUCUUAAUUUUAUAGAGAAGAAAAGAGUAAAAAAUGAACUAAUGGGAAAUAACCUUCAUAUUCUAAAAAUUUUAAAAAUUAGAUAGGGAUUUUAGUGCAGUUAAUGAUAAAUGGAUUAUUCAUAUAAAAAUAAUAAAAUUUCUUUUUAAAAUCAACUAGGGCUUUAGCCCCACAUAGAGCUAACUUUGGCCCAAUAUAGAGCUAAUCUUAUGUUGCGGCUGGUGAUAAAUUGAUGGUGUUUAUGAUAUAUGGUGUCCUGGUGAUGAUGAUAAUAGAUUUAAUGGUGAUGAAGAUAGAUGAAUGGAGUGUUGAUGAUGCUAACAGAAAGAGAGCAUAUAAAAGAGACAGAAAGAAAAAAAAAAAAAAGAGUACUUUUAUUGUUUUUACUAUUUUUUAAUAAGAGUAUUUUAGAAAUAAAUUGGUGAAUUGAAAGUAGGAGAUGAUGAGAUAAAUUGAAGAGCUCAUAUCAUUACACAAUAAGUGUGCACAUAAGUCAUAACUAGUCUGAUUUAUUAGGCUUUACAACAAAACACGUGCUUCCUAAACGUCAACGAAAAUAGUACGAGAUGACGACGCAUAUUUAUUCGCAAGUCAGAUCAUGAUAGCUUUGAAAUCAGUUAUAACAAUCCUGACCCUACUUUGAACAUAUAGGCCAUUACAAUUUUGCUAUCGGAAUAUAAAAUCUAAAACGCAUCAACUAUAUUAGGAGAACCUACCACGAUUUAAGUAUCCAAUUGAGUUAAAUAUUUUUUGAUUUAAUCCCCGCCCUUUAUUUUAUAGGGAGAUUACUAAUUUUUUCUUUACUGAAAUUAAUACAAACUAGUUAUCUCUCCCACCUUUUUCAUAAAAGCCAAUAACCCUUGGCACUACAAUUUAAGUUAUAAUAUUAUCAUUAUUUUCAAAACUAUUUUUACUCAUAUUUAUUAUUAGUUAACUAGACUAUAUAAAUGGAAGAAAAAAAGGACACUUAUUCCCCUCAAAAUUUAGGGAAAUGGUUAUAAAAGCUCCUACGUUUUCAAAAUGAUACACUAAGAUGCCCUUUUUACCAUAAUAUCCUUUGAAUAUAGUAAUUAGAAAAUUAAUUUUAAAGUUUUUUAGUUAAUACAAAUUUAAUAUAAAUAAUAUAAUCUAUCUAGUAGACUAAUAAUAUUAAAUUAUUUUUAACAUAAAAUAAAAUUAAAAUUUUAAAUUAUUAUAUUUAUUUUAAUAAUAUAUUUAUAAAGAUCUUAAAUAAAUCUUUGGUUAAAUAGAUUUUAUAAUUAGCAAAAGAUCUCCCUAUUAAUAAUAUUAAAAUUAUUUUUUACAUAAUAUUCGAAAUAAUUUUAAGAAUUUAUUUAUUUUAAUAUUAUAUUUCUAUUUAUUAUUAAAAAUUACUUUAAUGUAAUAAAAUAAGUCUAAUAGAUUGUAAAACAUCAAAAUAUCUUUUAAGUAUUAAAAUUAUUUUCAAAUAUAUAUAUAUAUUAUUUUAAUGCUAUAUUUCUAUUUAUUUUAAUAUUUUGGAAUCAAUUUUUUUGGGUUUAUAGAGUCAAAAGGUAUUAUGGUUAAAAAUGUUGGUGUCCCUUAUUAAAAACUUAGAGGGUCUUUGUGAUCAUUUUCCCAAAUCGUAAGGAUUUAGGCAUCCUUUCUCCUAAAUGAAAAUUUAAAAAAAAAUUAAAAUACAAAAAAUAAGAACUAUAAGUUUUGGUGUGAAUAAAGAAAUUAAUAACAAGAUAUUUUUCGUAUACUUUUUGUUGUUUUUAAACAUCUUUCCUUAUAAUUAAUAUAUAUUUUAUAUUUUCAAGAUAAAAUAUCAAACAAAUUACCCAUUUACUCCCUUUUUCCUUUAAUUUUUGCAUGUGUGUUUUAGUGUGCAGCUAGCCCCAUGAAUAUAUCAUUUUUUUAAUAUCUAAAUAUCUUUGUACAUGCAAUAAAAUUUUUAUCCUUUAAUUCGACAUUUUUUUUCAAAAGAUAGAUGUAGGUAAAGCCAAACUAAUUUUUAGAUCUCCUAUUUUCCUUAGGAUUCAAGCCUACACGGUGGUCAAAUAAAGAAAGAUAUUUAAAAACUACUUGGUCAAAUCCAUGAGGCAUUUGAUCAUUUGGGAUUAGGGAUCAACUAAAACAAUUAGCUUAUUCUUCUUUGGUAAAUAUCCCUAUGAUCCUUAGUAUAGGCACAUUAUUCUGUUACUCUUUAUAUAAUUAGAUCACCCUUUGAGAGUAAGAGACCAUUUAAUCUUCUUCCUUCCUAAAUAAAGAUGUAAGUGAAGUUCAAAUUUAUUUUUCAGUCCUUUACCUCUCCCAAGAUUAAAAUUCGAGUAGCCAACCAAAUAAAACUACUUAAAAACCACUCAAUCACACUCUUAGAAUCUAAUUGAUAAUUAAUGUUUAUGUCUAAGAAGUUUAUUUCAUAUUCUGCUUGCUUAGUUCUUAAUCUAUAAGAAAAAUUAAGCCCUGUUAGUGAAGCUUAGAGUAUAAUUAAGUAGCAUGCUAGCGAUUUAUCAAAAUAUAAAAAGUGUGAGACACAAAGGUUAUAUGAAGUGUUAAAAUAUGAGGUUUAUUAUGCUCCUAAUAAUUAGGUAUAAGUUUUGUAAGCAAGUAUUUAAAAUGGCAUCAAUAUCUUUAAUGGCAGGCUAAAAUAUUUUAUUUGGCAAUUGAAUAGUUAUAACUAAAGGUAUUUGGUCCCUAAAAAUACUAAAAGCAUGUUUAUAGAGAUUUAGAUUUCCUCGAAUUAACUCAUUUAUUACUUUUUUCUUAUUUUAUAUGAUUUUUCAUUGCAAAUAAUUUGUGUUUGUAACAGCCACCUAUCCAUUCAAUUAUAAUUUAUUUAUUCAUUUAUUUUCGAAAUUGGAAUUGUUAUAAGCACAAUCAGACAAUGUAUCUGAAUCUGAGAUUAAAUCAUCACUUAGCUUGAGGCGCCUUACCAUCAAAUUAUAUAUAGUAUCGCGUGUUGAUAACUUAAUUAAGUUUAUACAAUUCAAUAAAUAUAUAUGGGACAGUACUAUCCAAUUCAAUAAACGCAUGUUUCGAAUAGAGAAAAAACAUAUGGGACAGUACUAUCAAUUCAAUAAAUGCAUGUUUCGAAUGUAAAGGCCCCCUCUUAAUUAUUAUUAAUCAACUCAAAAAAAAAUUGCGUGAAUGGGCACACAUAUGAUGUGGUGGCCAUUUAAGUUUCUCUCUUAAGUCGGUAAGACAUGUUUUUAUUUUUCGAAAAUUCUUGACCGCAUAAAUGCAAUAUCGUAGUAAAAUAAUAGUGAUUAUCGUCAACAAUCUUCAAAUGAAAAAUUAUCAUCUUGGUUGUUUAAUUUUAGUAAAGGGGCGGAUAAGCAGGCACUAAAAUUAUCUCAAUUUUAAUUUAUCAAUAUCUAUUGGAUUUAAGUUGAACUAAUAGAUGAGAUUUAUUAAAAUUAAAUAUUUAAAAAAAAUUAAUAUUUUCUUUCACUGUAUAGACCUUGCCUUAAAUCUCUCUGUUUAUAUUUUCUCUCUUCUUUUACACGUGUUCUCUCCCUCUACCUCUCUUCUCUUCUCUACUCUAAUUUUUUUUUUCAAUCUCCGACUUUUUCGUUCUUUCUUUUUUCCUCAGCCACGAAAAUUUCUUUACUCCAAAAUAGAUAUAGUAUAUUUUCUUUAAUUCGCUUUAGCAUUUUAUAAUGAACUGGCCUUUACUAGAAGAGUUUUUUGAACUAUUCAAUCACUAAUUCUUGCAAAGGGACAAAAAAAAGUAAAUGGGUUUUGGUUGUUAGUAAAAUAUUUUUACCAGUUAGAUCUAGAGAUGAGAUUUGAAGGGAAAAUUCUAAUGUAACGUAGAACAAAUUGAUUGAUCCCAAAUCAUAUUGAAGCAAAUACACAAUUUGGUAUUAACGUGCUUGUUAAUAGACAAGUACAAUCACAAGGUUUUCUCGUUAAGCUUGUGUUUGAUGAAUUUUGGGUGGGGGACCAAUUUCGAUGGUUAAAAUUGAUCAUUUGUGCUUUCAAUGCAUGCGAAGAGAUAAAAUAGACGAAGCAAAGAGUCGUGGCUGGGAAAAAAAAAAGCGCAAAACAAAAGUCAAGGACUUAAAAAAAAACAAGAGAAGAGAAGAGAGAGAUAGAGAGCGAGAGAGAGCAUGUGCGUAACAAGAUAGAAAAUAUGAGAAAGGAUUUGUGAUGGAGUCCACAGAAAAUGAAAAAAUAUCAAAUAUUUAAUUUUAGUAAAUCUCAUUUAUUAAUUCAACUUCAAUCUAAUAAAUAUUAUUGACUAUGAAAUUGAGAGUAUUUUUAAAAGAAUGUUGACCCAUAUAUGUUAGAGGGUCCUAAUGGCAAGGGAUUUUGCUAACAAAAAAGCCUUCAACACUACCCAAUACCCACCUCCUUUUCCAAAAAAUGCCUUUCUUUAUUAUAGAAGUACGAUUUUUUUUAAAACUAUCAUUGAAAAAAGAAAAGGUUAUUUAUUGAUCAAAUUAGAUAUAAAAGACAUAUGUUGUUAAAACAAACCAUUUUUCAGUUUUACAGUUCAUUUCAUUAUUUUUUUUUUAUUUUAGUUAAUCUCAUCCAUUGAUGCAACUUAAAUCUAAUAUAUAUGAAUAAGUGUAAAAUUAAAUGUACUUUUAAGGUUACUAAUCCGUCCCAUUUAAAAGUUCAAUUAAACACCAAUGUUAUUUAAGGUUUAAUGAUAUAUCAUCCAAAACACAUUUUUAUUAUUACUCCGAAAAUUUGCAUAUGAAUUCUUAUGUUUACAAACUUAAAACAUUAUAUAUAUAUAGAGAGAGAGAGAGACACACACACAAUAUAUAUAUAUCUUCCAUAUUGUUAAAAUGCGAAAUUUCUCAUCAUCAUCCAUCUAUCUUAGCUAUCUUCGAUAGAAUUGCAAGUGGUACAGCAAGUAGUAGUAAUAUAAGGAUAGCUCAUAUCUUAGCUAUCUUCCAUAUUAUUAAAAUGCGAAAUUUCUCAUCAUCAUCCAAAACACAUUUUUAAUAGAUAUUCUGACUUGCAAUUUUUUAUUGCAUGAUGAUUUGAUUCUCUAGGGCUAGCUGGCUUUGAAUGGGUUGGUGGCGAGAUAAUAUCAAUAUAUAUAUCAUUAUCAGGAAUUGGUGACACCAAACGAAAAUUUGUUCCGUGAUGUAUGAACAAGCAGGUUUUUAACUGACCUUUGAUUUUCAAAUGGAAAGUUUGACGGACUAAGAAAUAUUUUAAAUGUGAAAUUUUGAGAAACCACGAAUUGUGGUUAUUGACUUUGGUUCGAGUUUAUGACGCUUGUAGGGUUUAAUCAAAGGGUGACAACAGCUACACUAUAGGCAGUCAAAUUCUUGUAGCUUCAAAAAUUUCCCUGUUGAAAUGGAGGUUUAUUAAUUUCCAUGAAUUGGGGUUGGUGUUAGUCGGCGGUGACGAAGAUGUGAUGUAACACCUUCACACACUUCAAAUCCGAGUAUAUUACGGACUCACUUGCAAUUGCUGUGACGGGGUUAAAAAAUAAUUUUAUAAAGUUAAAAAUUAUUUUAUUGUUUGAUAAAUUUUUUUACAAGUUGGAAAAUUAUAUAAUUAUGCAAUGAAAAUUACGGCAUCAAUACUGUAAUAAAUAUAAAUAUUAUAAAUUACACAUAAAAUUAGUAAAUGAAAAGUAAAACCAAUAAAUUCAUACAAUAUUAUUAAUUAUUUAAAAAAUUAACAUCGUUUCUAUAGAAUUUUAGUGAAAACUAUUUGAUUCAUUUACAAAAAUAUUUUCCUUAAUAAAAAAAGAAAAAAAAACUCAUUAAUUAAAAAAAAUUAUACUGAAAAAAGUGGAAUAAGUUUUAUUGAAUUUGUUUAACCAUUAAUUCUAUAUUUAUUCUAGGACAUUUGUAUACUUUUUUUCUCCCAUUUUCUAUAAUAACAUCUAUUUACUACAUAAGUUAAUCAAGCACAAUUAUUUAUCUUGAUACGGAUCAAGCAAAAACAAAAUUAAAAAAAUAUUCUUAUAUUACUAGACACACAUACAAUAUAUCAAUAAAAUUGUAUCUAAUUUUGAGUCUUAUGCAUACUUCAUAUAUUUUCAAACUUUUUACCUCUACUUAGAGACCAUUUAGGAUUGUUCUUGAGGAAGUGUAGAAAUAUGCAAAAUAACCUCAUUUUACAACAACUAUGAAAGAUAUUAAAAUAAUAUUUUUUCAAAAUCUAAUUUUGAGAAUAAAUUUCAUCCUGAAUAAAAUAUCAUAUGUAUUACAUAAAUGCAAAACUAGCGUUAUUCAAUUUAAAUUAAUAUAUAUAUAUAUAAGGUAAUAAAGAUUGUAAUGAGUUUUUAUUUUACAAUUGUGGAUUUUUUUUUUGUAAUAACUCUUAUAUCAAUUUAUUUAUUUUUUGUUAAAAAAAUGUAUUUAUUUGAUCUUUUAUUCAUAAGUUUUAGGCGUAAUCUACAGAAUUUAUGUUUUAUUUUGCACUUAAUGUUGAUUUACUUGUUUUAUGUUAUAUUUGUAAGUAUUCGUUUUAUUUAUCAAUAAUACAUCAAAUUACUAGCUUUAUAAUAAUUUACUUGUUCUACCUUCCUUUUACAAGUCUUAUGUUCUAUUUCCAAAAUUUAUAUUUCAUUUUUUUUAUUUAGUGUUGAUUUACUAGUUUUAUGUUCUAUUUACAAGUUUUUGUUUUUUUUACCAUUAAUACAAUAAUUAACUAGUUUUAUAUUAAUUUAUUUGUUUUACCUUCCAUUUACAGGUUUUAUGUUCCAUUUUUAAAUUUAAUUUUUUAUUUUGCACUUAAUGUUGAUUUACUAAUUUUAUGUUAUAUUUCUAAGUUUUUGUUUUAUUUACUAGUAGUGCAUCAAUUUACCAGUUUUGUUGUAAUUUACUUAUUUUACCUUUACUUUACAAGUCUUUUGUUUCAUUUCCAAAAUUUAUGUUUUAUUUUACAGUUAAUGUUGAUUUACUAGUUUUAACUUAUAUUUGCAAGUUUUUGUUUUGUUUACUAGUAGUACAUCAAUUCACUAGUUUUAUAUCAAUGUUAGAGUGCAAUUUAUGCACUAGUUUUGCAUUGUUUACUUCCCUUAAUAUCGAUGUUUUGCACUUAAUAAUAGUGAUUUACUUGUGAUUUAUUUUUGUAGGUGCAAUUCUAUUGAUUGGUGAUAAAAUUGAGCUACAAGAUGAUGUUUAAGGAUGAUUGUUCUCUUGUAGAAAUUAUGAGCGACAGAAGAACUUUGUUGAUAAGGCGUGGGCGCGUGCUGUCAACUGCGGACCUGCAGUUUUUAGUUUAACGUGUUUUGUAUUUUUGGCUAUUUUUGUAAUUACGAAUUUAAUAUUUCAUAUAUUAGUAUUUUAUUUUAAAUAGAACUCUAAAAGAGAAGAGAGAGAGAUUAUUUAAGGGAGGAAUCUAUUGUGAAAAAGAGGGAUUUUGGGGGGAUUGGAGAAAAAAGAAAUAAACCCUAGAUCUUAAUCUUUCUCUUCUCUCUAUGAAGAACUAAACCUAUUUUUCUGGUUGAAAGAUAAUGAAGUUUGAUUCAUCACUACUGUGAGAUCUUUCUUGUGCUUUAAUUGUUUUAUUACUUUUUGGGUAUUUGUUUAUUCUCUGAAUUAGUUUCAUGAUUAUAUUUGUUAAUUAGGUAAUUGGCCACUAUUUAAUUAUCAACUUAAUCUAUUGUCAAUUAAAGGAUUCACCGUAUGAAGAAUUUAAUGUUUGUGACAAAUAACAUAGCAGAGAGUUGUGUUGUGAGAAUAAACAAUCUAAUUUAAAUAAAUCAUCAUAUGUGUUGAUUAGGAUUUGGGUCUCUCUGGUUUUUCAGGCUGUCAAUUGAUUAAAUCCUAUGAUCGUAUCUAGGGUUGUCUAUUGAUUAGGGAAAUAUCCAACGGUCGUACCUUAGUUAUCGACUAGUUAAGAAGAGAUUGGCUAUUAGAGGGUCUCAAUAGCUAUAACCGGUCUAUUCAUAAGUAAUAAUAAUCUAUAUUUGAAUCAAUGAUCAGUAGUCGAAUCAAGCUGAGUUAAUUCAUUCAAUCAGAGCUUUCUCCAAUUUGAAUUACAACUUUAAUUUGCAUUCUUGUUAUUUUAAUUUAAUUUUAUUAUUGUCAACAAAACCCCCAUUUUAUGUUUUACGUUUUAAAAGGAUUUAAAUAAUUACCGAUCUCUGUGGACACGACCCUGCUCAAUCACUAUACACAAUUUAUUUAGAGUAGGAAUUUAUUUUUGUUGGCUUCGACAACCAUCAAUCAAUUUACUUGUUUUAUCUUUCAUUUACAAAUCUUAUAUUUAAUUUCUAAAAAUUAUGUUUUAUUUUACACUUAAUGUUGAUUUAUGCGUUUUAUGUUAUAUUUGCAAGUUUUUGUUUUAUUUACUAAUAAUACAUCAAUUUAUCAGUUUUAUAUUAGUCUACUCAUUUUACCUUCCAUUUAGAAGUCUUAUGUUUAAUUUCUAAAAUUUAUGUUUUAUUUUACAGUUAAUGUUGAUUUACAAGUUUUAUAUUAAAUUUACAAGUUUAAUGUUUCGUUUACAUAAUUUAUAUUCAAUUACAGUAUUGAUACCGUAACUUUAUUCACAACAUUAUAGAUUAAAAGUUUCUUUCGAUAAAAUUAUUUUAUUACAACAUAUUUUGAAAGUAAGAAAUGAGUAGUUUAUCAUUAACAUAAUUAAUUAGUGAUACAUCCUCAGUUUAAUUUUGUGAAUUUUUCUUAUUUAAGUAUUUAACACUGUUUAAUUUUAAUUUCCACUUUAUCUAUCAAUUUACUUAAUUUAUUUAAUUUAUCAAGAAAUAUGAAUAAAAGUACCUUUAUAAGGUGAUGUUGUAAAAUUAUGAUGUCAUAUAACUAAGAAUAACGAAGUAUUAUCAAAUACUAGGGGAUAUAUAACAUAUGGUACUGAAAGAAAGAAAAUUGAUAUUUACUCUAAACGAACAACAACAGGGUGUCUUCAAGGGUGAACGCCACAAUACUCAUGACGGUGAAUCUGCCAUUGACAACCCAGUAGAAACAAGCAAAGAGGCAGUGAAAGGAAGCAGUUCCAACGAUGUUGGCACAAUUGUCAUGGAUGACGAGACGUAACGGAAGGGCUUCAAAACUUUAAGCUAGGUCUAUAUGUAAUGUACAGGGAAACUGUUAGUAUUAAUUAGCAUGUAAUUUCCAGGUUAAUGAAUAUCAGCUCAUUUUUGCCAUCUAUUUUUCUCACAGAGCUGUACAUUGCAUUGUUUAUAGCAUGUGCUCAUUUUUUCUAGGGUUCUUUUCAUCCAAACAUCUGCGUUCAAAAUUUUAAAAAAUGAAGAUUAAUUAACAAAAUUGUAACUCAAAGUUCAUUAUUCCAAAUUAUGCAUAUUUAUUUAUUUAUAAAUUAAAAGUUUUGAUGCUCAAUCAUUAGUGACAGACAGAAUGAGGAUUUUGGUUUGACCGGAGCUAUAAUAGUAAAAAAGAAUUAUAAAAUACACAUAAAAAUUAGCUAAAUUCCAAUUUAUACCCCUAUAUUUCUUUUUCUUUUUCUUUUAGCCCAUGCAGAAAGGUGCUCAACCUAUAUCAUUUAGACACUCCACAUGAUUUUCAUAUUAAAGUCAAUAAAGAAAAGAGAAAUGGGACCAUUCUUCUAAUCCCAGUCGCUCCUCAACAAACAAAAAUUCAAAGCACAAAAAAAAAAUUGUCUUUUACUAACAAAAUGGAAAGAACUCCGUACUGGGGCCAGGGCAUGAUGAACAUUAUUAGGUGAAUAGAGUUUGUAGGUCCAAAUCUUGAAAAAGGCUUGAGUUAGGUGAGAAGCAUUUUGGUCCAUUAAUUUUUCAUUAUUUGUAAUUUGAUUCAACUUUUUGUUAGGUUCUUCUUUGGGUCACUCUCUCUUAGCUUUGGUGGGAUUACUUUAUAUUUGCUUCUUCUAAGUAGUACUAGGCAAAGUUGGUGGAACUGCUUCACCACAAGAAGAUAUCAAUAUUAUUAUUUUAUUUUUUAAAUUAUUGCACCAGUACUGGGUCAGCAUGAUAUUUAUUUCCUAGGCUUUUUAAGUUAUAUUUAUUGGAAUUUAUUAUCAGACUUUUUAGUACAAAAAUGAGUAAUAUAAUAAUGAGGUCAGAGGGUAAAUUUUACUCUGAUAUAAGUUAUAUUAAAUGUAGUUUAGAAGAUCCUUAUUUCCUUAACUUGGUCCCAUGAAUCAAUUAAUUGUAUAUGCCUUUUUGUUUUAAAAGAAUGUUACUUCAUGCAAUUAUUCCUCUGUAAAAGGUUAAAAAAAAGAAAAAAGAAAAAAAGAAACAAAUUAACCUUGGCACUUGAAAGUAUAUUCUGGUUUUGAGGAUUUUAUGUGAAGUUUUUGAACGUGUCCGUUAUCAAAUAAAAUUUCAAAUUUUCGAUCAAACCCUCGAGUUUUUCAUUAUCGGCUUCAAAGACUGCAUAUUAUAUAUACUAAGUUAGGGUCAAAAA
rnacentral:lncRNA from 1 species